rnacentral:rRNA from 1 species
AUACGAAGGUCCCAAGCGUUAUUCGGAAUCACUGGGCGUAAAGAGUACGUAGGCGGUUUGGUAAGUCAGGUGUGAAAUCCCGGAGCUCAACUCCGGAACUGCAUCCGAUACUGCCAGACUUGAGUAAUGGAGAGGCAGGUGGAAUUCUCGGUGUAGCAGUGAAAUGCGUGGAUAUCUAGAGGAAGACCAAUGGCGAAGGCAGCCAGCUGGACAUUUACUGACGCUGAGGUACGAAGGCUAGGGGAGCGAAAGGGAUUAGAAACCCCAGUAGUCC